CUACAUUAAGUGCCCUGAAAGCUUCAGCAAACAUGAUAUUGACCGAAGCCCCCGUGUCUACCAGGAUUCGUCGUACUUCAAAGUUGGCUAUGUGAGCUUCCAUGAUCAGUGGGUCGUUGUGAGGGUAGAUGAAUACCUCUUUCUUCCUCAGGGUAGAAACAUAUUGGAUCCCAGUUAGGCUUUUAAUACUUACCUCCCUUGA
rnacentral:lncRNA from 1 species